UUUUGCUGUCCUGAAGCUCACUGGGUAAACCAGGCUGUCCUCAAACUCAAGGAGAUCCAUCCUCUCCUGGGAUCACAGGUACAGAAGUCUCAGAAAGAUCGCAUUGCCUAGCAUCAGGAGCAAGGGCGUUACUGUUACAGAGCAGGAGAGAGCAAGAUUAGAGGAAGAGAUCAAAGAAGAACUUCUUUGGAGAAUUUUAAAGAAAGAACUUGUUAAGAGAACUUUUAGAGAGAGAACUUUGUGGAGAACUUAGAAAUAAAGAUUAAAAUCACUUUUCAAGGUGUCCC
rnacentral:lncRNA from 1 species